rnacentral:rRNA from 1 species
AUUGAACGCUGGCGGCAGGCUUAACACAUGCAAGUCGAGCGGGGGAAGGUAGCUUGCUACCGGACCUAGCGGCGGACGGGUGAGUAAUGCUUAGGAAUCUGCCUAUUAGUGGGGGACAACAUCUCGAAAGGGAUGCUAAUACCGCAUACGUCCUACGGGAGAAAGCAGGGGAUCUUCGGACCUUGCGCUAAUAGAUGAGCCUAAGUCGGAUUAGCUAGUUGGGGGGGUAAAGGCCUACCAAGGCGACGAUCUGUAGCGGGUCGGAGAGGAUGAUCGGCCACACUGGCACUGAGACACGGCCCAGACGCCUACGGGAGGCAGCAGUGGGGAAUGUUGGACAAUGGGGGGAACCCUGAUCCAGCCAUGCCGCGUGUGGGAAGAAGGCCUUAUGGUUGUAAAGCACUUUAAGCGAGGAGGAGGCUACUCUAGUUAAUACCCAGGGAUAGUGGACGUUACUCGCAGAAUAAGCACCGGCUAACUCUGUGCCAGCCGCCGCCGUAACAC